AUUUAUAUAGUUUAAAAAAAACUUUACUUUUUCAAUGUAAGAAUAAAAAUUUAUUUUUAUAAAUU
rnacentral:tRNA from 1 species